CACAAUGUUUAGGGGUGCCCGAGCUACCAGGUAGCUUUUGGGCUGAGAUCAUACCCAUUGGACCUGAUCCGGGUAAUGCCGGCGAAGGGAACAAACGAUCCGCGAACGA
rnacentral:ncRNA from 2 species